rnacentral:rRNA from 1 species
GACGAACGCUGGCGGCGUGCUUAACACAUGCAAGUCGAGCGGCGCGGCGAACGGGUGAGUAACGCGUGAGUAACUGCACCCCUCUCUGGGAUAACAGUUGGAAACGGCUGCUAAUACCUGAUAGUGUGGGAUGACUCGCGGCCUAUCAGCUUGUUUGUGGGGUAGUGGCCUGCCAAGGCGACGACGGGUAGCCGGCCUGGGAGGGCGACCGGCCACAUUGGGCUGAGAUACGGCCCAAAGGGCUACGGGGGGCAGUAGUGGGGAAUAUUGCGCAAUGGGGGCAACGCUGAUGCAGCAACGCCGCGUGCGGGAAGACGGCCUUCGGGUUGUAAACCGGUUUGGGCCAUGACGCGGUAGUGGCAGAAGAAGCACCGGCUAACUACGUGCCAGCAGCCGCGGUAAUAC